CAGAGGAGAAUCGAAACUUAAGGAGCACAGCCACAUUGAGGUCAAUUGAUAUAGGAGGAACAAAGUACAAAGUAAAGAUUAACAAAGUCAGGGGAUGUACCUUCUGAAUCCUGAGAGUGUGGAUUGUUUCAGCUUGUGCCACUCAAGGAAAGGACAGGAUUUGGGGGAUGAUGAGAACACAUUCUGGUGCAUCUGGUGACCCUUGGCCAUUUUGUCUACUUGCAGGUGAGACUGAAUGCCCCAGAAAGGCUGAAUGAGAUGGUGUCCUUUCCACACCAGCAGAGGAAUCAGAAACUGAAAGCAGCAAUUAGAAGAAUGGCAGAUGCAUACCUGAGUGAAACAUUUAAUAAAUUGUUUUUGGCAAAAGGACCAUUCAAGAGAAAAUCAGAGUUAAAAUAAUGAAUCAACUCCAGUGUAUGCAGUACAAGUUCCCCUGAAGUCAACUGCAAAAUUAGAUUCAUUUUAAUAAGCUUGCAUUUCACUGUUAGCUUGAUAAUAGCUGAAUGAUGAAGACUAAGAAGAAGUGUGUGCUUCUGUUAAUCAGUCUGUACUGUAAACUUUUAUUAAGCUGUUACUGAAUUAAAUUCAUUAUGGUAUCUGCCUUUCUUAUAAGCUCUGCCAUGCUGUUAAAAUGUAAGAUAAGUGCUUGGCUGGAAGCUUAAUAGAGCUAAAGGAAAUAGUCGAUAAUAAGCAUGAAGUGUGAAAUUAUGAGAUAGAAUGUCACUGACAUAAGUCUUCCUUCCAAAUGUACUUGGUGUCUGAAAGCACUGUGUAGUUUAAGAUUAGGAAUCCCAUUUAUUUCCAUCAAACCAUGCACAAUUAAAGCAUAAUUGAGCCAGG